GUAAUGAUAAGCUUAUGGUGUAAAGAGGUGAUUUUGCAAGUUUAGGAAGGUUUUAUUGAAUAGCUAUUAUUUUGCUUGAUUUCAGAUUUGCAAAAUUCACAGACUGCUUCCUAGUGGAGGAAUACUGGUGUUUGUAACGGGACAACAAGAAGUAUAUACACUUUGUAAAAAACUGAAGAACACUUUUCCUGUCAGUGGCACACACAAAGAUGCUAAUAUUAAGAAGAAUAGGAAACAGAAAUGGAAAAAAGCUGACAAGAAGAAAGGGGACAUAUUUCCAACAAUAAAUCUAGACAGUUACUCUGUACAUCCAGUAGCUAUAGAAGAAGAGCAAGAAUUGACAAGUGAUUCUGAUCUGGAAUUAUUAGAUGACAAGGAACCAGAUGAGAGUGAUUCUGAAGAGGAGGGUCACUCCAAAGAAGUCUGUACAGAACCACUGUAUGUCCUCCCUUUGUUUUCAUUGUUGUCCACUGAAAAACAGGUCAAGGUGUUUGAACGACCACCAGAAGGUUAUAGGCUGUGUGUUGUAGCCACUAAUGUGGCAGAGACAUCACUGACUAUUCCCAACAUCAAAUAUGUUGUUGACACAGGCAAGGUACAUGUAAAAUAUU